GACGAACGCUGGCGGCGUGCCUAAUACAUGCCAGUAGAACGCACAGUUUAUACCGUAGCUUGCUACACCAUAGACUGUGAGUUGCGAACGGGUGAGUAACGCGUAGGUAACCUGCCUGGUAGCGGGGGAUAACUAUUGGAAACGAUAGCUAAUACCGCAUAAUAUUGAUUAUUGCAUGAUAAUUGAUUGAAAGAUGCUAUUGCAUCACUACCAGAUGGACCUGCGUUGUAUUAGCUAGUAGGUGAGGUAACGGCUCACCUAGGCGACGAUACAUAGCCGACCUGAGAGGGUGAUCGGCCACACUGGGACUGAGACACGGCCCAGACUCCUACGGGAGGCAGCAGUAGGGAAUCUUCGGCAAUGGACGAAAGUCUGACCGAGCAACGCCGCGUGAGUGAAGAAGGUUUUCGGAUCGUAAAGCUCUGUUGUAAGAGAAGAACGGGUGUGAGAGUGGAAAGUUCACACUGUGACGGUAUCUUACCAGAAUGGGACGGCUAACUACGUG
rnacentral:rRNA from 1 species